UUAUAGAGUGGCGAACGGGUGAGUAACACGUGACCAACCUGCCCCAGACAUCGGGACAACCAUUGGAAACGAUGGCUAAUACCGAAUACACUCUUCCUUCCUCAUGGCGGGAAGAGGAAAGCUCAGGCGGUCUGGGAUGGGGUCGCGGCCCAUCAGGUAGUAGGCGGGGUAACGGCCCACCUAGCUUAUGACGGGUAGCCGGACUGAGAGGUCGACCGGCCACACUGGGACUGAGAUACGGCCCAGACUCCUACGGGAGGCAGCAG
rnacentral:rRNA from 1 species